GAACGUUACUGAAAGAAAGAUUUAGAGUCGUUUGAAUUGAAGUUCUCUUUUAUAGCGAUUUAAACUCUUUCCAAAAGUAUAUACGGUUGAACGUAACUGUAAUAAUUUAAUAGCACAGUAUAAAAAUUUAAGCAAGAUUCAUGACGAACAUUGUAUUGAUACAGCAGCAGUUUAAAAAAUGGACAGCGUUAGAUUUUGAAAAGUCACAUUUGUCAAUUGUUCCGUUUUUAGUGAAGUAUAUAGAAAACUAUAACGCAGUGUGUAAUUAAAUAUGUUAACGUAACAUUAUUCAGCAGGGUUCAUUCGACUUUAUAAAGCAAAAUUAGUUACUACUCAUUUCAACCACUUGAAAGCCGUUCUACUAAACGGCCACACGAAAGGAGCAGCAUUGGAUAGGAAAUGAAAGCUCGCUGAGGUUUUCUGCCCAUUGUAACAGCACAGGACACCGCAGCCGCUUGUCGGAGCUGCUCCGAAUUAACGAGGUCCAACAAGUAUAUUUAAUGUAAUAUGUUAGUGUGUGGAAGAAGGAAGCCAAGCGAGGAGGCGUUUGCUAUUGUUUUGCAAAGAAGACUACGAGUGACAGAGCUCGUUAAACCAGGUCUGUGAGGAUGAGAAGGUCUCCACAGUCUGGAGUCUGGUCUCUGACAGGCUCGGCACACCUGUCAAUCAACAGGGACUCCUCUACAAAGGCAAGGCGCUGGCAGAUGAGCACAGACUGUCACACGACUCCAUCGGCCCCGAUUCGAAGCUGAACUCGUUGUCACACCCCCAACAGAGAAAGUGUCACCCGAGCAAGAACAGCACUCCCUGUGUCACCCCUCCUCACCCCUCGUCUCACACAGUGAGAGGCUGGAGCAGCAACACAAGGAUUACGAGCGGAGGCUGCGCUUGUUGAGCCUGGAUGAUAUGGAGCGGCUGGCGACCCGCAUGCUUCACCCAGAGGCUGUGGAGUGCAUGGAGCUGUCCUUCCUGGACUGAGGAAUACUGCUGCUGCCCUCUCCCCUCUCUCCUCCCCUCUCUCCUCCCCAGGGAGGGGAGGUGAGGAGAGGGAGGAGAGAGAGGAACCUGCUACUGAGGGAGCUGCAACUCUGAGGAGAGGGAGGAGAGGGAAGAGAGAGGAACCUGCUACUUAAGGAGCUGCAGCUCUGAGGAGAGGGAAGAGAGAGGAACCUGCUACUGAGGGAGCUGCAGCUCUGAGGAGAGAGGGAGGAGAGAGAAGAACCUGCUACUGAGGGAGCUGCAGCUCUGAGGAGAGAGAGGGAGGAGGGAGAGGAACCUGCUACUGAGGGAGCUGCAGCUCUGAGGAGAGAGAGGGAGGAGGGAGAGGAACCUGCUACUGAGGGAGCUGCAGCUCUGAGGAGAGGAGAGAGAGAGGAGAUUAGAGAGAGGAACCUGCUACUGAGGGAGCUGCAGCUCUGAGGAGAGGAGAGAGAGGAACCUGCAGCUCUUAGGAGGAGAUCAAAUCUUUCUUCAGGUGUUGUUAUUUUGAUAUAGUUUUGAGGUUGAAUAUUUCAGUCCAGGUUUGAAGCACUCACUCUUCAUUACUGAUAUUUAAAUCCAGAAGAAACACAAAAUAAAUAAAAAUCUGUGUUGAA